rnacentral:lncRNA from 1 species
CAAAGGUGAUUGAAAAAAUGCCCCAAAUCGUCAGUCUAAACCAGAGUGUGAUUAUGAAGCCAGUCGAAUUCCUGAGAGGACGUGGUAUUCCGGCGGAGGAAGUAGCAAAGAUGAUCGUCAGGUGUCCUCAAAUCCUAGCACAACAGAUUCAGCUGAUGAAGAAUAGCUUCUAUUUUCUAAAGAGUGAUAUGCAGAGAUCAAUCCAAGAGAUUGUGGAGUUCCCGGAGUAUCUGACUUACAGUUUGGAAUCGAGAAUCAAGCCUCGGUAUCGGAAGCUCUCCGGCAAGGGGAUAAAGUCUAGCCUGGCUUGGUUUUUGAAUUGUAGUGAUGAGAGGUUUGAGGAACGAUUGGAGGCAAAUUUAAUAGAAAGCGAGACUGCAGGGCCGUC